rnacentral:rRNA from 1 species
UAACGCGUAUCCAACCUGCCCAUCACUUGGGGAUAACCUUGCGAAAGUAAGACUAAUACCCAAUGACGUCUCUAGAAGACAUCUGAAGGAGAUUAAAGAUUUAUCGGUGAUGGAUGGGGAUGCGUCUGAUUAGCUUGUUGGCGGGGUAACGGCCCACCAAGGCGACGAUCAGUAGGGGUUCUGAGAGGAAGGUCCCCCACAUUGGAACUGAGACACGGUCCAAACUCCUACGGGAGGCAGCAGUGAGGAAUAUUGGUCAAUGGACGAGAGUCUGAACCAGCCAAGUAGCGUGCAGGAUGACGGCCCUAUGGGUUGUAAACUGCUUUUAUAAGGGAAUAAAGUGAGUCUCGUGAGACUUUUUGCAUGUACCUUAUGAAUAAGGACCGGCUAAUUCCGUG